CUUCAAGGGCAGGUGGGAUUUGGGAGACAGAGAGGUCAUUAGAGGCAAAAGAAAGAGCCCAGUGAAAUGCCCAAGGUCAAAGACAUGUAUAGAGCAUGCAGUGUGGCUCAUGGUCUACCUCACUGCAGGGAAAACACCCACCAUGCCCACCUCCCCCUGUGCUCUCCCAACAGGAGAAGACCCUGGCUUCCUUCAGCACCCAGUGGAGCCUGGAUCGGUGAGGAGGCCUCAAAGUCUUUGCCAGUGGGGCUGUCUGGAUGACCCCCUCCAUCCUCCCUGGGGGUCUGCUCCUGCUUUGCCCAGACGCUCUGAGGGUCUCUGUGGUGAUGGACUUGGCUCUCACUGUGCAGGAGCCGUACCCCCCGGGGACUAGAUGAUGAACUGGACACCGGGGAUGCCAAGUUCUUCCAGGUCAUUGAGCAGCUCAACUCGCAGAAACAGUGGAAGCAGUCGAAGGACUUCAACCCACUGACACUGUACUUCAGAGAGAAGGAGAUGGAGAAAGAGUACCGACUCUCUGCAAUCCCCGCCUUCAAAUACUAUGAAGCCUGCACCUUCCUGGUUUUUCUCUCCAA
rnacentral:lncRNA from 1 species